UUCAGUUUACUGUUCUAUUUAUUUCGAUGCUUUAUGGCAGCUGCCAACUUGAUUCCACGCACAUGAUGACUAGUAUAUUGAACAAAAGGCAAGAGAAACAGCAUGGAGACUAAGGAAAACGUGAGAGACAUCCAACUAUGAUUGCCAUUGCCUUUGUUUCUUCGCUAAUCUCUCUACUUCUCUAGUCCCUGGUGUUACAUUUGAAGAGAAGCUCUAGCAGACAAGCAUAUCAACAAGGAAAACAUUUGAGUUAUCCAACUAUAUUGUGCUACAAGUCUACGGCGCCUGGUCAUAGCCUUUGCAAAGUCGCAUUUGACCACAUUUUGGAAUACAUCAGUAGUACAAGUUUGUGAUACGUCAUACAUGUGCAGUCAUACCUGUACGGUAUUCUGACCACACGAAAUAAGAUUGCUCACUGGUGACCCGUCUGGUUGGCGAAGGCUUCCGUCUCUGUCAUUCGGUUCAUGCUGUCCCUUUCCCUACUACGUAAUAAGAACAGAGAAGACGAGAACCAGUCGUGAAUCAGAGAAUAGAAAAUACGAGCACCAUGCUAACUGCAACCAAGGCGAUCAGUCAAGUCCAAGUGCAGAAACUUACGACCAUAAAAAAAGGAAGUACACAAACUUACAGUCAAUGGACAGAUCAAACUUAUGGAGCAAGGCAUUCAGACACUUCUAAGAAAAUGACAGGUCAAACCGUGAUAAAGUUUGUACUGGGUCCUGUGCAUCAAGGAGUUUAUCCAAAAGCUUAACUACUUAGCAAAGAGGUACAUGCAUCAACAGGGGCGGAGCUCUUUUGUGACUAAGCACCCCUGCGGCUCAGUUAGCUUCACUGGCCACGGCUGACAUUCGGCCCAAGCUUCACCACUGUGCAUCAACAAGAUGUACAUGUACACAAUUUUUCGCGAUUUUUGGAAGUGUCCAAGCGCAGCAACCGGAAAUGGGAGGACGAACUAAUUUCCCAGGUGAGUGAUAUACUUCAAU